rnacentral:lncRNA from 1 species
ACCCAAAUGACCAUCAGUGGGUUAAUGGAUAAACAAACUGUGAUAUAUCCAUACAAUGGAAUAAUAUUUAGUAAUAAAAAAGAAUGAAUUACUGAUACAUGCUUCAAAACAAAGAUGAACUUUGAAAACAUUGUUCUAAGUGAAAGAAUACAGAUAAAAAAGGCCACGCGUUGCAUGAUUCCGCUUAUAUGAAAUAUCCAGAAUAGGUAAAUCCUCAGAGACAGGCAGUAGAUAGAUUAGUGAUUGACAGGGGCGGGAAUGGGGUUGGGGAAUUGGGAAUGACUGCUAACAGGUAUGGAGUUUCUUUUUGGGGUGGUGAAAUGUUCUGGAAUUAGAUAGUGGUGAUGGCUGUGCAACCUCGCAAAUAUACUAAAAACUAUUGAAUUGUACAUUUUAAAAGUGGGUUGUAUGGUAUGUGAAUUAUAUCUCAAUUGAAAAUAAAAAAGGUUUGGGGCUGGCCCCGUGGCCGAGUGGUUAAGUUCGCGCACUCCACUGCAGGCGGCCCAGUGUUUCGUUGGUUCGAAUCCUGGGUGCGGACAUGGCGCUGCUCAUCAAACCACGCUGAGGCAGCGUCCCACAUGCCACAACUAGAAGGACUCACAGCUAAAAAUACACAACUAUGUACCGGGGGACUUUGGGGAGAAAAAAGGAAAAAAUAAAAUCUUUAAAAAAAAAAAAAAAAAAGGUUUUACCAGUGACUUAACCACUAGCAGAAAUGUGGUGAGUAACCGUGUUUUUGGAUUGCCAGACAAAUGUUCAUGUUCUGUCACCAUGACUAGUAAAUAUUUCCUGAAUUAAAUGGAGAUGUAAUACUUGUCUUCAAGGACCUUGCAUAUAUGAACAUGAAAAGAGAAAAUACUGGGAAAUAAGUAGUAGACCAGAAUGAGUGGUAUGAACGAAGAGUUCUCAAAGUGGGGUCUCAAAGUGGGAUUUUUGUGACCCACCCAGAGAGGUUUGGAUUUGACAGGUCUGUGGUGUAUUCCUGGGACCCUGUAUUUUUAGGAAGGACUAUAGGUGUGGAAGAGACUCAUCCAUAUCCUGCUUUAUUCUUCUUCUUGCUACUUGCAAAAUUACACUUCCCCAGCCCUUUUUGGAUGGGUGCACCAUAUGACUAAUUCUGGCCAGUGGGUUGAGAGUGGAAGUUAUGUAUAUCACUUUUGGGUUAAAGCAUUUAAUUGGCAGUAUCAGAACUUCUAGCAUUCUCUUCCAUUGCUGUGCCAAUCAGGGGAGGCCAUGUGUUCCAGACAGGUCAGGUACAGGAUGGUGGAGUCUUCAUUAGCCUGGAUCUUUGAGUCACUGCGUGGAACAAAAUGGUGCUAGAAAGUUGCCCAGACCAGCCCUGGGUUUUGCAUCAGCAAUAAAUAAACCUUUGUUGUGUUAAACCAUUGAAAUGUUGGCAUGUUUGUUAUUGUAGCAUAAUCUGGCCUAUCCUUAACCAGGGGAUUUUGAUGAUUGACCAGGUUUGGGAAUCAGUAGUAGAGAUAAUAAAAGCUAAAGAAUUGGGGGGUGAAAAGAUCAUCUAGGGCUGAGGGUGAUCAGGAAAGACUUAAUAGAAGAAUUUGAGCUGGGCCUUGAAAGAUGGAUAAGAUUGGGAUAGGGAGAAAUAAAUAGGACAUUCUGGAUAGGGGAGAUGUCACAAAUGAUACGGAAGGAGUCAUAGCAAAAUAAUAGUUCCUUAAGUUUUCUUUUCUCUUAAAAGUCAGCUAAGACUUCUCUUUAUAAUGUGCUUGGGGGGCAGAUGCUUCAACUAUUGCCAAAUAUUUAUUUUGUAGUUGGACAAACUGAAAUAACAAUCCAUGUGCAGUGUCACGCAAUGAAUCUUUCAACAAAGAUUGAAUCAUUUCAGUGUGUCCUUUGUUCUGAUGGACAGUUGUCUUGAAUUCUUCUUUCAGAGAGAAUGUAAGCACGUCAUUUUCAAUGGAAUCGGGGAAGGUUAGAAAUGGAAGACUUGAAUGCCAGGCUUCAGUUAUCCUCCCCGAUACAAUGAGAAAGACCCACAUGUUUUCCUUGGAUAUUUAUAUCCAGGUGAUUUUUUUUUUUUUCUGUCUGAAAGAGCCACCUCUUCUGCCAGCAUGCUCUCGUUCCUCCAUUCUGUCCAAGUGUCUUUGUUCCCUUUCCUGCUUGCUCUCACCUUCCUUUCUCCCAUCCUCCAACCUUUCAGGAUAUGAGAUCAGUGAGGAGGAGGGAAAAGGAACUGAUGUUUACCCAGUGCUUUAUGUGUGCCAUACAUGCUUUGACAUAUAUCAUCUCAUCUAGUCCCUGAUGGCAGCAUUCUGAGAGAGUCUCCAGAAAGGAAUGCAACCCUACUGACAUCUUGAUUUUUGCCAGUGAGAUCCACGUCGAACUUCCGACCUACAGAACUCUGAUGUUCCUGCAAAUCAGAAUUGAUUUGAACUAAGGUGAAUGAUAAACAUGCGCUGUCAGACUGCCUCCUGGGAGCCGACUGGGUGAGUUUUCAGGGUGAAUUUUCUUUGUCCUCCUGGCCUCAGGCUGACUCUAGCUCUGCUUUUCUCUCUUCACCAAAGCUGACCUUCUCUCUCUGCCUCACCUCCCACCCCAUUCCCACCUCCAGCCACAGAGGCAGCAGCUGAGCCCUGCUGUGCCAACCUCAAGUCUAGGUGACCCUGAGCAGUUACCAAGGGGCUUUGUCUUUCUAGAUACCCCAUUUGGCCAUGGUCAAAAUCCCCAAGGCCUGCUGAGGGAGGCUGAGUCUGUGUGGAAAAUUUAUAGGGGUUUAGAACCCAGAGAUUCUAGGUUGUGAGUGUGCGACUCCCCAUGUGCGAGUAUUGGAGGGAACCACUCAUAGCUUCAUGCUGUGUCGAGCUGGGGAAAAAUCACAAGGUAUGGGCCCUUUUUUCUCACCCUGUCCCCCACUCCUGGGCCUGGAAGUUUCCCCCUCCCAGUACUGUGACAUUUUUGGAUGUUCCUUUGAAUAGCUCAGGGACAAUCUAAGGAGUGAACACAAGAGAAUACCCCUCUGGAAACUUUGGAACAAAUUUCCUUGACUCCCAGAGGCCUUUAUAUAUGCUGCUUUCUUGGCUUCAACUUCCUUUGCCCUUAGUCUUAUGCUUCCUUUAAGACUCAGUCCAGAAAGGCCUGGGAAGUGUUUUCUGGCUCAUGCCUCUUACUCCAACUGCAAACCAUCCUUUAGCACCAGGCACAAUCUCUGUCAUGGCCCCUGUCAGCUAAGUCUUCACCAUUUGCUUGCAUUUGUUUCUGCAAGGGUAUCCAGGACAGAUCUCAGUCAUGGAUGCUUAGAAAAUGCUUGUGGAAUGCACAUUCCUCAGGACCAAAGGUAGAACUGAGCAGAGUACUUUCUACCCCAAGCAAUUAUAAAACCCAUUAUACAUAAAUGACCUAAGAAUAGUAGACGCUAGAAUUAAGAACAGUUUAAAUUGACAUAUGUUCCUUGUAUGAAUAAUGGCUUUCACACAUUGACUAGACCCUUUUCUCAAAAACAGAAGGAGUGCAUUUUAUACAUGUUAGCAUUUUAUAAGUAUUGCCAUUUAAGCUUAUAAUUCUGGCUCAGCUGUUGGAAUUUUGUCAUAUGCCAAAAGUUAAACAGAUGUCCAAAAGAGUGACUCACUGCCCAAAUGAAGAAAAAUGGUAAGAGCUGUUCAAAACCAACUUAAGUGUCAAUAAACUUGGAGAGAAGUAUUCUCUCGGGCUUUAAAAAAAAUCAAACAAACACAAUGAAGAGGGCAUCCUUCCCAGAGGACAAUUUGAGACAGGAUCAGUGAGAAGCAGAGAUGAAAAGACUUGCUUCCUUCUCCAACCCCAGUUGGUACAGGGAGAAGAUACUAGGAAUUUCUGAAUUGUAGAAUUACUCCUCUCCCAUGGGUUUCUGCAUUCAAGUCUUCCAAAACUCAAGGAACUAUAGAGAUUUUUCCUGGGUUACAGGUAAGAGCCUUUGAAUUUCAAAUUGUAGAUAUCCUUGAGCACUGUAAGCCAAAAUGUGUCAUGGCUACCUAGCUUUUAGCUAUGAUCAUUCACAAAGGAAAACUGAUGCCUUUACAGUUUGCUUAUGGAAGGACCUGGAGCAGAGCUGACUGCCUGACUGAUUGGGGCACUAAUUGAUUAGUUGACUAACAUUCAUUAAGCACCUAUUAUGUGCCAAGCACCUUGGAUGAAUGAAAAAUGACAGAAAUUUCUCCUUCCCAGGAACUUAAAUAUCAUAGAAGUAGAGAUGUGUCUAGUAUUUAAGAUCAGCAGAAAUCAAAGAGAUGUCCUUGUGCUAUUUGGUAUCUCCAAGUACUUAUAAUAAGUCAAACUUAUUGGGUAUCCUUGUAGUAUUUUCAGAUUUUGGGGAUCUGGAUUUGAUGUGUCAGACAAAGAACAAUCAAAGGUGAUUGUGGAAGAACGAGAUGGAUUGAUGUCCCGGAAAGUGAUGAGGGAGAUCGGGGCCCGGCUUCACACAUCACAGGCAGUGCCCUCCACUCCGACCUGGAGGGCACCACCUCAUGGUGUGAGGGGGGCUCGGGCUCCACAUCCAUUAACUCCUUGGCUUCUCGUUUGAAACUGACAACGGGGUGAUGUGGGCAACUGUCCAUAUGGAACAGGACAGCGACCAUCAACUCAUUCCAUAUGGGCCACCAGACAGCACCUAGAGAUGACUUAUUAGAAAAGGUUGACAGAGAAGAAAAGGAGGUCUAUGGACAUAUGCAUUGACAAAUGAGGCCCCUCUGCAAAUGAAGGUGGGUCGUUCUUUCCCCAAAACCAAAAUGGGAGAAGCCAAUGGAUGUUUGUGGCUGAGGGUGGGGAGCCAGUGGAAAUGCUUGAAAAGGGUUGAGGAUUCCAUGACUGCCAUCUCCUAAGGGUGGAUAAAGGGAAAAAGAGAAGCUGAGUGGUGGGAGGAUUUACCUUGGGGAAAAUGAGGCUCAUUUUAUCACGAGACUGGAGGGAAUGAUGGGUUCAAAGACAGACGGAGGGCAAGGGUUGGUGAGGAAGUGUGUGCUGGGAAUUCCAAUUUCAGCAAAGUAGAGCAGUGGCCAAGAGGGUGGAGGAAAUCCUAAGAUUGAGUGUGGGGGAAGAGUGUACAGUAACUACUAGAGGAACUGUCAUUAGGGACAUCACUCAGAUCCCCUCAUUUCAGCUUCCUGAAACUUGUAUCAGAUUGGAGCCUGCCCAGUGCCAUCUACUGCUGAUGGUCUGACUGCGUAGCCAGCAACAACACAGUUGACUUUAAUGAAAACAGAAUGUGGAGACCGAACACAGGUCUGCAUCCAAAUGCUGCCAGAUAUCUGGAGGGAAAUUGAAAAAUUCAUGCAACCAUGAG